UACGGAGGGUGCAAGCGUUGUCCGGAUUUAUUGGGUUUAAAGGGUGCGUAGGCGGCCGCGCAAGUCUGGCGUGAAAGUCCCGGGCUCAGCCCGGGAAGGGCGCUCGAAACGGCGCGGCUCGAGUGCCGGAGGGGAGAGUGGAAUUCCUGGUGUAGCGGUGAAAUGCGCAGAUAUCAGGAGGAACACCGGUGGCGAAGGCGGGUCUCUGGGCAGUAACUGACGCUGAGGAGCGAAAGCGUGGGGAGCGAACAGG
rnacentral:rRNA from 1 species